CUUCUCAGAGGUACCAGCAAAAAUGCAUAAUGGAAUGGGCAUGAAUUUUAAAGCAAGAAACAAUUUCACAUGUGCAGACUAUAACAGGUUGCUAUUGUGAAUCUGCUGCAAUGCUUCCAGGUUGUGUAGGUUGCCUGUGUAGAAGACAAAGACAGAGACCCGUA